UACGUAGGGGGCAAGCGUUAUCCGGCUUUACUGGGUGUAACGGGUGCGUAGGCGGUCCGUUAAGUCAGCGGUAAAAUUGCGGGGCUCAACCCCGUCGAGCCGUUGAAACUGGCAGACUUGAGUUGGCGAGAAGUACGCGGAAUGCGUGGUGUAGCGGUGAAAUGCAUAGGUAUCACGCAGAACUCCGAUUGCGAAGGCAGCAUACCGGCGCCCGACUGACGCUGAAGCACGAAAGCGUGGGUAUCGAACAGG
rnacentral:rRNA from 1 species